CACCAAUCACGCCUGGCGUGGUAUUGGGCGACGGGGCGAGUCACAUCGCCCCGCGCCUCAAUGAUCUUUCCGGCGGGACGGACCGUAUCUCAGCGUUGUGCAAACGAGUCGCUGGCGAUGUGCGGGACGGCCGUGCCGUUAAACACCCCCUUCUUUA
rnacentral:misc_RNA from 1 species